rnacentral:SRP_RNA from 1 species
GGCUAGGCUAACCGGGGGGGUCGGCGUCCCCUUAUACACCGAAAUCGUCGUUAGCGGGGGUGACGGCCGAGUGCGGCGUAACUGGCCUGUUGGCGGUCCUUAUCACGACGAUGAGGUUCUGUCCCAUGGGGCUGGAGGUGACAUUCGCGUGCAGCCGGAGGGCGGCACGGCUUGUCUUGGUUACGGGGAUCGGGUCAGGCCCUGACGGGAGCAGCCUUACCGUUUACUACCAACGCUCAUGGGGUUGCGGGACCGAGAAGGGGUAAGACUCCCGCCAGGAGGUGCAGGCGACAAGCUCGGUGCCUAGCA